rnacentral:rRNA from 1 species
ACUCCUACGGGAGGCAGCAGUGGGGAAUCUUGGACAAUGGGGGCAACCCUGAUCCAGCCAUGCCGCGUGAGUGAUGAAGGCCCUAGGGUCGUAAAGCUCUUUCGCCUGUGAAGAUAAUGACUGUAGCAGGUAAAGAAACCCCGGCUAACUCCGUUGCCAAGCAGCCGCGGUAAUACGGAGGGGUUAGCGUUGUUCGGAAUUACUGGGCGUAAAGCGCGCGUAGGCGGACUGGAAAGUUGGGGGUGAAAUCCCAGGGCUCAACCCUGGAAUCUGCCUCCAAAACUAUCAGUCUAGAGUUCGAGAGAGGUGAGUGGAAUUCCGAGUGUAGAGGUGAAAUUCGUAGAUAUUCGGAGGAACACCAGUGGCGAAGGCGGCUCACUGGCUCGAUACUG